rfam:Olsenella umbonata strain DSM 22620 genome assembly, chromosome: I
GCACGUCGGCGCCGUCUACGCCGGCCUGCCGUCAUCUGCAAGUCCGUCCGUCACGGCACGGGGCGGAAGAGACGAGAGGA